rnacentral:tRNA from 1 species
GGACCUGUAGCGCAGCCUGGAUAGCGCGGCAGCCUUCUAAGCUGUAGGUCGGGGGUUCAAAUCCCCUCAGGUCCG